AUUGACCUCGGAUCAGGUAGGGAUACCCGCUGAACUUAAGCAUAUCAAUAAGCGGAGGAAAAAAAAACCAACAGGGAUUGCCUCAGUACCGGCGAUAG
rnacentral:rRNA from 1 species